rnacentral:rRNA from 1 species
UAAUACCGCAUAUUCUGUGAGCAGGAAAGCAGGGGAUCGCAAGACCUUGCGCUGAUUGAGCGGCCGAUAUCAGAUUAGCUAGUUGGUGAGGUAAAGGCUCACCAAGGCGACGAUCUGUAGCGGGUCUGAGAGGAUGAUCCGCCACACUGGAACUGAGACACGGUCCAGACUCCUACGGGAGGCAGCAGUGGGGAAUUUUGGACAAUGGGGGCAACCCUGAUCCAGCCAUGCCGCGUGAGUGAAGAAGGCCUUCGGGUUGUAAGCUCUUUCGGCCGGGAAGAAAUCGUAUGGGUUAAUACCCUGUGCGGAUGACGGUACCGGCAUAAGAAGCACCGGCCAACUACGUGCCAGCAGCCGCGGUAAUACGUAGGGUGCGAGCGUUAAUCGGAAUUACUGGGCGUAAAGCGUGCGCAGGCGGUUUUGUAAGACAGGCGUGAAAUCCCCGGGCUCAACCUGGGAACUGCGCUUGUGACUGCAAGGCUAGAGUAUGGCAGAGGGGGGUGGAAUUCCACGUGUAGCAGUGAAAUGCGUAGAGAUGUGGAGGAACACCAAUGGCGAAGGCAGCCCCCUGGGCCAAUACUGACGCUCAUGCACGAAAGCGUGGGUAGCAAACAGGAUUAGAUACCCUGGUAGUCCACGCCCUAAACGAUGUCAACUAGGUGUUGGGUGGGUAAAACCAUUUAGUACCGGAGCUAACGCGUGAAGUUGACCGCCUGGGGAGUACGGCCGCAAGGUUAAAACUCAAAGGAAUUGACGGGGACCCGCACAAGCGGUGGAUGAUGUGGAUUAAUUCGAUGCAACGCGAAAAACCUUACCUACCCUUGACAUGUCCAGGAGCCUGAAGAGAUUUGGGUGUGCCCGAAAGGGAACUGGAACACAGGUGCUGCAUGGCUGUCGUCAGCUCGUGUCGUGAGAUGUUGGGUUAAGUCCCGCAACGAGCGCAACCCUUGUCGUUAAUUGCCAUCAUUUAGUUGGGCACUUUAACGAGACUGCCGGUGACAAACCGGAGGAAGGUGAGGAUGACGUCAAGUCCUCAUGGCCCUUAUGGGUAGGGCUUCACACGUCAUACAAUGGUCGGUACAAAGGGUUGCCAACCCGCGAGGGGGAGCCAAUCCCAGAAAGCCGAUCGUAGUCCGGAUUGCAGGCUGCAACUCGCCUACAUGAAGUCGGAAUCGCUAGUAAUCGUGGAUCAGCAUGUCACGGUGAAUACGUUCCCGGGUCUUGUACACACCGCCUGUCACACCAUGGGAGCGGGUUCCGCCAGAAGUAGGUAGCCUAACCGCAAGGGGGGCGCUUACCACGGCGGGGUUCGUGACUGGGGUGAAGUCGUAACAAGGUA